CCUACGGGUGGCAGCAGUCGAGAAUCAUUCACAAUGGGGGGAACCCUGAUGGUGCGACGCCGCGUGGGGGAAUGAAGGUCUUCGGAUUGUAAACCCCUGUCAUGUGGGAGCAAAUUAAAAAGAUAGUACCACAAGAGGAAGAGACGGCUAACUCUGUGCCAGCAGCCGCGGUAAUACAGAGGUCUCAAGCGUUGUUCGGAAUCACUGGGCGUAAGGCGUGCGUAGGCUGUUUCGUAAGUCGUGUGUGAAAGGCGCGGGCUCAACCCGCGGACGGCACAUGAUACUGCGAGACUAGAGUAAUGGAGGGGGAACCGGAAUGCUCGGUGUAGCAGUGAAAUGCGUAGAUAUCGAGAGGAACACUCGUGGCGAAGGCGGGUUCCUGGACAUUAACUGACGCUGAGGCACGAAGGCCAGGGGAGCGAAAGGGAUUAGAUACCCGAGUAGUC
rnacentral:rRNA from 1 species